AAGAACAUGAUAACCUGUGUCUAAGCAGAGACACAAUAAAAUCUUGCUAGAAAAUUUUUCUUUCUUCUUCUCUCCUUCCUCUGCUAGUGAAGGCUUGAAGAGACUGAACCAGCGUGGUUCUGGGAGUUUAGCAAUCUCUCUUCUUGAUGGGACGUCUCUAACUGGUAGUAUCACCCUUCCCAUGAUCUCAUCCUUGCCAGGACCAACCCUGUCCUCGACAGUCACAAUUAUAAAAUCCUCAAAAGGCUCAGACGCCACAAACAUAAACUCUUCAUUCCAAAUUGGAUUGAUGGUUCGCAUCGGUGAAGGUUUAGUGACCCUUAUCUGAUUCCCAAGCUGAACCUUAACAUAAACAUCCGGUGCUCUACCCUUUUCCGAGGGGAAAAGAUCUUGAGCUUCAAUGACAUGAACUCGA
rnacentral:misc_RNA from 1 species